rnacentral:rRNA from 1 species
CAGCAGUGAGGAAUAUUGGUCAAUGGGCGUAAGCCUGAACCAGCCAAGUCGCGUGAGGGAAGACGGUCCUACGGAUUGUAAACCUCUUUUGCCGGGGAGCAACGGGGUCCUUGCGAGGGCCCUAUGAGAGUACCCGGAGAAAAAGCAUCGGCUAACUCCGUGCCAGCAGCCGCGGUAAUACGGAGGAUGCGAGCGUUAUCCGGAUUUAUUGGGUUUAAAGGGUGCGUAGGCGGGCUGUUAAGUCAGCGGUCAAAUGUCGGGGCUCAACCCCGGCCUGCCGUUGAAACUGGCGGCCUCGAGUGGGCGAGAAGUAUGCGGAAUGCGUGGUGUAGCGGUGAAAUGCAUAGAUAUCACGCAGAACUCCGAUUGCGAAGGCAGCAUACCGGCGCCCUACUGACGCUGAGGCACGAAAGCGUGGGUAUCGAACAGGAUUAGA